rnacentral:lncRNA from 1 species
AAAAUGGUCCAAAACUCAAAGUAUAUGGAAUUUUGGCAUGGGACCAAUUCCAAUAGCUUCUAAAUGCCAAUUGUGACUUGUCCAAAGUGAAAAAUUACUGUUUCAUUGCUUCUAGCCAUCCAAGGGCAAAGAUGCCAAAUUGCACAUAUAAGCAUAUUUCACUAAUUAUCAUUUUUGGCUUAAGCAUGAUUAUGAGUUGGAUUAGGCAUUAGUAUAUAAACUUAAUUAUAACAGAAACUCAG